rnacentral:misc_RNA from 1 species
AACCAUAGAAACCUGCGGAGUACCUGCGGAAGGAUCAUUACAGAGUUGCAAAACUCCCCAAACCAUUGUGAACCUUACCUUCAAACGUUGCUUCGGCGGGCGGGCCACAGCGCCCCCCGGGCCCCCCCAGCGGGGGCGCCCGCCGGAGGAUACCCAAACUCUUGAUACUUUAUGGCCUCUCUGAGUCUUCUGUACUGAAUAAGUCAAAACUUUUAACAAUGGAUCUCAGAUCGGAAGAGC